CAGUACUCCUUUCUGCUCAUAUACUAAAAUUCAGAUGGAUACAGAGAAGAUUAGCACGGCCCCUGCAAAAGCAUGACACGCAAAUUCAUGUAGAGUUCCUAUUUUUA
ensembl:snRNA U6 U6 spliceosomal RNA